rnacentral:rRNA from 1 species
UACGUAGGCAGCAAGCGUUGUUCGGAAUUACUGGGCGUAAAGAGUGUGUAGGCGGUGCUCCAAGUCUGGUGUGAAAUCUCCCGGCUCAACUGGGAGGGUGCGCUAGAAACUGGAAUGCUAGAGGAUGGGAGAGGUAAGCGGAAUUCCUGGUGUAGCGGUGAAAUGCGUAGAUAUCAGGAGGAACACCGGUGGCGAAGGCGGUUCUCUGGGCAUUACCUGACGCUGAGGAGCGAAAGUGUGGGGAGCGAACAGG